GUCUGGGUGGUGUGGUUGGUUAUCACGUUGGUCUCACACACUAAAGGUCCCCAGUUCGAACCUGGGCUCAGACA
rnacentral:tRNA from 2 species